UCUCCGUCUCCCCAUGGAUGCCCUUCCUGCUGGCCCGGGACAGUCCUGGAGCCAUCCCACCAGGACAGAGGAGCGAGCAGCCGGGUAACCUGAUGCACUGUGUGAGGAGGGGUGGGUGAGACAAUGGGUGCCAUUGUGAGAGGUCCCCUGGCAGCCCUAAUCGGAUCAAAAGGCAGCAUUCUUUCAAUUCCCGGCAGGUUGUUCAGAAUUCCUCGGGCUUAUUAGGCAGGGGCUCAUCUUCUUCGCCAGCCUAAGGACCUUGUCUUGCAGUUCAAAUAUCCUUUUGCCUUCCCCAAUUAAAGGAGGGGUGCCCUGAAAGCAGAGAUUUUUUUUUAAUUUAUAUUCCCUAUACCUAACACAAAGUUUUUAUUCACAGGGAUUUGAGGUCAAAGUCUUUCAGAUGCCAACCAAGGGAACAUCCUGAAGAUUUUAGGGCAGGGUUAGGAAGGUAUACAUCUUCUUCCAUCUUGUAUUAGGUGAUGGGGCUCCAUAUCUCUCAGAAGACUGCAGACGUGAAUUCCUGCAAAUAGAUUGUAUUACCUGGUUGUUGAGGUCCCUUCCAAUUGAAGAGAUCCUGAAAUUCUGUGAAAUAAUCUCCAGCUCUGGUUAUAAAAGAUCAUUGGAUGAAGGAAAAGCUGAAAGUUGAUUAAGAUCAAGCAUGAGACUUUUAAAGUAAUCUAAGGGAGAAGAAAUGAGAGCCUAAAGCAGGCAUAGGAUUGAGUUACCUUGACUGUAGGACAAACUGAGAAGGGCAGUUAAAUAAAAGAAUGGAUGGAUGAAUGGAUGGAUGAAUGGACCGACCGAUGGCCAAACCAGUGAGAGAAUGAAUGAAUCAAUGAACAAAUCAAUGAAUAAUGAAUGAGUGCAGCGAUAAUCAGAAUGUUUCACCAAGUGAGAAAAUGAAACAGAAUUAAAAGAAAUGGUGAAUAUC